AGACGAACUGUUCAAACGUUAUUCGGAAUCACUGGGCUUAAAGGGCGCGUAGGCGGUCUAGUAAGCGAGGUCUGAAAUCCCGCGGCUCAACCGCGGAACUGGGCUUCGAACUGUUAGACUAGAGUGAAGUAGGGGCAAGCGGAACUUGCGGUGGAGCGGUGAAAUGCUUUGAUAUCGCAAGGAACACCGGUGGCGAAAGCGGCUUGCUUGGCUUUAACUGACGCUCAAGCGCGAAAGCUAGGGUAGCGAACGGGAUUAGAUACCCCGGUAGUCCUAGCCGUAAACACUGAGCGCUUGUUCGAGGGAGACUUUCUUUCUCGAGCGUAGCGAAAGUCUUAAGCGCUCCGCCUGGGGAGUAUGGUCGCAAGGCUGAAACUCAAAUGAAUUGACGGGG
rnacentral:rRNA from 1 species